GUGAACGCUGGCGGUAGGCCUAACACAUGCAAGUCGAACGGCAGCACCGUAAGAGCUUGCUCUUACGGGUGGCGAGUGGCGGACGGGUGAGGAAUACAUCGGAAUCUACUUUUUCGUGGGGGAUAACGUAGGGAAACUUACGCUAAUACCGCAUACGACCUACGGGUGAAAGCAGGGGAUCUUCGGACCUUGCGCGAUUGAAUGAGCCGAUGUCGGAUUAGCUAGUUGGCGGGGUAAAGGCCCACCAAGGCGACGAUCCGUAGCUGGUCUGAGAGGAUGAUCAGCCACACUGGGACUGAGACACGGUCCAGACUCCUACGGGAGGCAGCAGUGGGGAAUAUUGGACAAUGGGCGCAAGCCUGAUCCAGCCAUACCGCGUGGGUGAAGAAGGCCUUCGGGUUGUAAAGCCCUUUUGUUGGGAAAGAAAAGCAGCAGGUUAAUACCCCGCUGUUCUGACGGUACCCAAAGAAUAAGCACCGGCUAACUUCGUG
rnacentral:rRNA from 1 species